rnacentral:rRNA from 1 species
AUUCGCCCUUGUGCCAAGCAGCCGCGGUAAUUCCAGCUCCAAUAGCGUAUAUUAAAGUUGUUGCGGUAAAAAAGCUCGUAGUUGGAUUUCUGUUGAAGACGUCCGGUCCAUACCACGUAUGCGCAUCUGGCUCGGCUUCGGCAUCCUCUCGAAAGACGUUUCUGCGCUUGAUUGCGUGGAGCGGAUCUCGGGACUUUUACUUUGAGGAAAUUAGAGUGUUCACGGCAGGCUAUCGCCAGAAUACAUUAGCAUGGAAUAAUACUAUAGGAUCUCGGUUCUAUUUUGUUGGUUUCUAGAAUUGAGAUAAUGAUUAAUAGGGACAAUUGGGGGCAUUCGUAUCAACACGUUAGAGGUGAAAUUCUUGGAUCGUGUUGCGACGAACUACUGCGAAAGCAUUUGCCAAGGAUGUUUUCAUUGAUCAAGAACGAAAGUAAGGGGAUCGAAGACGAUUAGAUACCGUCGUAGUCUUUACCAUAAACUAUGCCAACUAGAGAUGGGACAUCGUUCACUUAAGACUUGUUCCGCACCUUAUGAGAUAUCAAAGUCUUUGGGUUCCGGGGGGAGUAUGGUCGCAAGUCUGAAACUUAAAGGAAUUGACGGAAGGGCACCACCAGGAGUGGAGCCUGCGGCUUAAUUUGACUCAACACGGGGAAACUCACCAGGUCCAGACAUAAUAAGGAUUGACAGAUUGAUAGCUCUUUCUUGAUUUUAUGGGUGGUGGUGCAUGGCCGUUCUUAGUUCGUGGAGUGAUUUGUCUGCUUAAUUGCGUUAACGAACGAGACCUUAACCUGCUAAAUAGGAGCGCCUAUCUCCGGAUAAGCGCCUUUCUUCUUAGAGGGACUUUAUGCGUUUCAGCAUGAGGAAGUUUGAGGCUAAAACAGGUCUGUGAUGCCCAAG